AGAGUUUGAUCCUGGCUCAGGACGAACGCUGGCGGCACGCUUAACACAUGCAAGUCGAACGAGAGAAGAGGAGCUUGCUUUUCUGAUCUAGUGGCGGACGGGUGAGUAACACGUGAGCAAUCUGCCUUUCAGAGGGGGAUACCGAUUGGAAACGAUCGUUAAUACCGCAUAACAUAAUUGAACCGCAUGAUUUGAUUAUCAAAGAUUUAUCGCUGAAAGAUGAGCUCGCGUCUGAUUAGCUAGUUGGUAAGGUAACGGCUUACCAAGGCGACGAUCAGUAGCCGGACUGAGAGGUUGAUCGGCCACAUUGGGACUGAGACACGGCCCAGACUCCUACGGGAGGCAGCAGUGGGGAAUAUUGCACAAUGGAGGAAACUCUGAUGCAGCGAUGCCGCGUGAGGGAAGAAGGUUUUAGGAUUGUAAACCUCUGUCUUCAGGGACGAAAAAAGACGGUACCUAAGGAGGAAGCUCCGGCUAACUACGUGCCAGCAGCCGCGGUAAUACGUAGGGAGCGAGCGUUGUCCGGAAUUACUGGGUGUAAAGGGAGCGUAGGCGGGAUCGCAAGUCAGAUGUGAAAACUAUGGGCUUAACCCAUAAACUGCAUUUGAAACUGUGGUUCUUGAGUGAAGUAGAGGUAAGCGGAAUUCCUAGUGUAGCGGUGAAAUGCGUAGAUAUUAGGAGGAACAUCAGUGGCGAAGGCGGCUUACUGGGCUUUAACUGACGCUGAGGCUCGAAAGCGUGGGGAGCAAACAGGAUUAGAUACCCUGGUAGUCCACGCCGUAAACGAUGAUUACUAGGUGUGGGGGGACUGACCCCUUCCGUGCCGCAGCAAACGCAAUAAGUAAUCCACCUGGGGAGUACGACCGCAAGGUUGAAACUCAAAGGAAUUGACGGGGGCCCGCACAAGCAGUGGAGUAUGUGGAUUAAUUCGAAGCAACGCGAAGAACCUUACCAGGUCUUGACAUCGUAUGCAUAGCUCAGAGAUGAGUGAAAUCUCUUCGGAGACAUAUAGACAGGUGGUGCAUGGUUGUCGUCAGCUCGUGUCGUGAGAUGUUGGGUUAAGUCCCGCAACGAGCGCAACCCUUACUGUUAGUUGCUACGCAAGAGCACUCUAGCAGGACUGCCGUUGACAAAACGGAGGAAGGUGGGGAUGACGUCAAAUCAUCAUGCCCCUUAUGACCUGGGCCUCACACGUACUACAAUGGCUGUCAACAGAGGGAAGCAAAGCCGCGAGGUGGAGCGAACCCCUAAAAGCAGUCUUAGUUCGGAUUGUAGGCUGCAACCCGCCUACAUGAAGUCGGAAUUGCUAGUAAUCGCAGAUCAGCAUGCUGCGGUGAAUACGUUCCCGGGCCUUGUACACACCGCCCGUCACGCCAUGGGAGUCGGUAACACCCGAAGCCUGUAGUCUAACCGCAAGGAGGACGCAGUCGAAGGUGGGAUUGAUGACUGGGGUGAAGUCGUAACAAGGUA
rnacentral:rRNA from 1 species